rnacentral:rRNA from 1 species
GUGAAGUACGAGUUAGUGGCGGACGGGUGAGUAACGCGUGGAAAACCUGCCGUAUACUGGGGGAUAACACUUUGAAAUAGGUGCUAAUACCGCAUAAGCGCACAGCUUCGCAUGAAGCAGUGUGAAAAACUGAGGUGGUAUACGAUGGUUCCGCGUCUGAUUAGCUAGUUGGUGGGGUAAAAGCCUACCAAGGCAACGAUCAGUAGCCGGCCUGAGAGGGUGAACGGCCACAUUGGGACUGAGACACGGCCCAAACUCCUACGGGAGGCAGCAGUGGGGAAUAUUGCACAAUGGGGGAAACCCUGAUGCAGCGACGCCGCGUGAGUGAAGAAGUAUUUCGGUAUGUAAAGCUCUAUCAGCAGGGAAGAAAUACUGACCAUAGGGUCAGCAGACGGUACUUGACUAAGAAGCCCCGGCUAACUACGUGCCAGCAGCCGCGGUAAUACGUAGGGGGCAAGCGUUAUCCGGAUUUACUGGGUGUAAAGGGAGCGUAGACGGCAGCGCAAGUCUGAAGUGAAAUGCCAGGGCUUAACCCUGGAACUGCUUUGGAAACUGUGCAGCUAGAGUGCAGGAGAGGUAAGUGGAAUUUCUAGUGUAGCGGUGAAAUGCGUAGAUAUUAGGAGGAACACCAGUGGCGAAGGCGGCUUACUGGACUGUAACUGACGUUGAGGCUCGAAAGCGUGGGGAGCAAACAGGAUUAGAUACCCUGG